GGUCUGAGGGACGAGUUGGCUGUAAUUCGUGAAACUUGCAACGCGUUCCCGGACUAAGCAACAAGCUUGGUCACCUGCUUCGUCAGAGAAGGUUCUUGAUUCUGUGUGAUGUUGCCAAAAGGAAACAUGGAGUUCCAGACUCAGGUGAAGUGUAUGUGCAAGGACAGCAAGCAAGGCAAUAGCAGAGAAAGAAAUAGAACACACAUAGCAACCAGGUUGUAAGAUGCAUUAGGAAAACCAGACCUAGCUACAUUGGAAAGAGUGCCCCUGGCAGCGUGUGAGCAGAUGAAAAGUUGCAUACAGCGUCCCAGUAACAGAUCUGUAUGUGUUCAGCAUGCCACAUCUUCUCUGGACUCCAUACCUCCCAGGAAAGCCCAUGGCCCGAGUUAAUUCAGUCUUAGCCAUGCAGAUGGAAGAACCUGUGUCUUCCUUACAAGGACUUGUCUCCUGGAAAACCUUGCUCUCUCCUCUGGAUGGAAUUUGUGGAGUCUCAGCGUUGUCUUUGGCUCACCCCAGCAUAUUCUGUGAGUGCCUUGGGAGCGGGGAGCUGAGAUGGAGGCUUCACACCAGUAAAUCUUUGGAACUUUUU